AGAAAAUUUGGGACUUGACACUAAUUCUAGUAAAUAACUUUUCCUGUAAAAAAAAAAAAAAAAAAAAACUCAGAUUUCAGUAACAUGGCCUUUGUCUUGACAGAUGGUAUAAUGCUGAGUGAGUCCCAGGCAGAAAGACCAGAGUUGUGGCAGCAGAAGGGCAAAGUUACUUCAGUUGGCUAAGAUACUGAUUUGGCUGAAAUUGUUCAAGAUUGGCUAAUAAAAGCAGUUUCUUCAGCUGAAAGGAGCUGAGGAAGCCUUUAAUGUUUGAAUGACUGUGUUGGCAGUCAUGAUGGAACAGGACGACAGGGCUCGCCAGGAGAAUUUUGCCUCUCCAUCAUCUCGCACGUGUACCUCCACCUCCGUCCUGACUCCAAUGUGUUGAUGCCCAUAAUACGCAUCAAAGUUGCUUUCAGAUGCAGUUUUUAACCCAGUGGAUCUGGGUGACGGAUGAGAAAAGUAUGCAGUUAUGGAGAAAUUUGGCUGACAGCUGGUGACAUGAGUAUGCUGUCAUGGAAAGAUGUGGCUGACACCUGGUGUAAGAAAUGAAUUACUUAAGUGGAGUGCACAAAGCUGCAUAGCUCUUGGAGGAAGAUUAAAAUUGGUUGACACCUAGGAAGGGGUCUCCAGUGAACGAGGGUAGAAUGCACCAUCUGCGAGCUAUGGCUGGAAGUGCCCUGGCUACAUGGAGGACACUAUUUUCAUGCUUAUGCAGAAAAUGAGAUAAUAACAUAGCAAAUAGGAUGCAAGAUAUAUGAGCGCCACACACAAGUGUUGAU